rnacentral:rRNA from 1 species
CCAGCCGCCGCCGCCCUGAUUUCCCACCUCGGGAUCCUCUCAUUCCCCCUGCACCAACCAUCAGCCACACCCAGAUCCAAUCCAUCCAUCCCAUCGAUCCAUCUCGAGUCAACGGCCGCCAACGCUCUAAUCCCACAGGAGCCCGAGCCACCGCAAGCCCCUGCUCUGCCCCUCCGUCCUAGCCGUUGGCCCUGGCGGCGCCGCCCCUCGCAGGUCAUCCGGUGUGCCCCUGCUCUUCCUUCUUAUUCCCCAUCUCGUUCUUAUCUCAUUGCUCUCUCUAUCUCCCGUGUAGGAGGACAGCCAUGGGAGCACCUCGAGGAGCAACACCGCAGCAGCCUCGUCCUUACGCCAUCACCAUCACCAUCACGAAUCCGACCUCCUCAUGUUCCCCUGCUUCGGAUCUGGUGAUCCACACCCCUUCCUUGCACUUACGGCCUCCCGCUCGUCGCCAUGACCGCACAGGUUCAAGCUCCGCCGCCUGUUGCUGUUCAUCGCGCCGUCCCGCGCUCCAACUGCCGGGAACCGGCUGCUCAUCGUCAAGACCUCCUCGAUCCACCCGCCUCCGCCAGUCCCUGACCUCGCCGGAGCCGCUUCUCGCAGUGUCGUCGUUCUCAUCGCCGGCAACCACUGCGCCCUGAACCUGUCUCUGCUUCCCGCUUGCGUUGACCGCGCCCCUCCUUCGUUCGAUCCAACCAGCGUCCUAUGCGAGGCCCAGAGCUCUAGUCGGCCUGCUUCCCCUCCAACCUGGGCCGCGGCCCAUGGGUGAGAAGCCUCAGUGCCUCAUGUUGUUUUUUUCCUUUUCUAUGCUGGUUGGGCCGGCUAGUUUCGGCCAACAUCGUUUUUUUCCAGCUCUGAAUGUUUUAGUAUUUAUCCAGAGACUGCAGUUUUUACAGAAAACCCCCCAAGCUUCAUGCAUUUAAUAACUUCAAAACCGUGCAUCAGAUCGAAAUAAAUUAUAUAUGAAAGUUGCUUAGAAUUUUAUCUAGUUUAAUAAUAUUCAACUUUCAUGCAUGUUUGAAAUGUUUAAAAUGUUGUUUGGUUAAAUUUGCUCCUAUGCCAUGUUAAAACACUUUAUUUCAUAACUAAAUAACUGUAGCUCGGUUUUAAAUAAUCUUUAUAUGUAAAUGGGGUAGAAAAAUGCAUAGUUUAACAUGGUGGCAUCCCUUUGCAUGUUUAACAACUAUAAAAUAUGGUUUAGGACAGAACAGUACCAUAACCAAAAAUAUGCACAUGAGGAUUUCCCGGACUUGUUGCUUGUUGUUCCGGCCUCAUUUAAACUUGCCUAGAUAGGUAGUUUUCAUUUGCUUCACCCCUUGCCAUGUUAAGAACAUUUAAUAUUGUUGGGUUCAUAAACAUGAUCAAACUAAAUAAGUCACGUGGUGUUUCGUCAAUAUGCAACGGAGUUGCAUAUUGAGCUCCACUUAACUUGUAGGAUUGUUUGUGCACUUUGCCAUGCCAUGCCUCAUUAAACCGGACAUGCAUCAUACUUGGUUGUGCAUCAUGCCAUGCUUAUGUGGUGGUUGUUUACUUUGUUGUUUGCUUCUUUCCGGUGUUGCUUCUUCGGGUUGGUUCCGGUAACGUCGCAUUUGUGAGGAUCCGUUCGACUACGUCCAUUUGUCUUCUUCAUGGACUCGUUCUUCUUCCUUGCGGGAUCUCAGUUUGCAGGUGCCGAUGAAACCGUGCAGGUGAUGCAACCAAGCUCAAUGGGGAGCCCGAUGAAGAUCUCGUUCAUUUUGUUGUUCCGUUUGUCAGUUGAUCAGUAGUGGAGCCCAGUUGGGAUGAUCGGGGAUCUGUGUAGCAUUUGGGGUAGUCUUCUUUUAUUUUGGUUCCGUAGUCAGACCUUGAUUGUAUCUGGUUGAUGUAAUGCUUUAUUCAUGUAUUAUGUGAAGUGGCGAUUGUAAGCCAACUAUGUACCUUUUUUCCUUG